CUUUCGAACGAACUCACUAUAUGAUUCAGGAAGUGAUUGAAGAACCGAGUCAAAAGCCAACUCACUUGAAAUCUCGACACCCAACAUGUUUAACCUAUUAAUGUAUGACUUCAUCUCUAAGACGUGUGCACACACAGGUUUCCCAUCUUCGUGUUUACUUGCCAAAAGGGCUUGAGUGAGCUUGAACUUUUCAAGCCUUUGAACUUGUGGGUCAGGGAGAACAAUUGGAGGAGGUGGAGGAAGUGAAGCAUGACUCUCAUUUCCUUGAUCGNCUCUCUUUUCUUCGAUCCUACAAAACAUCAAAAUGUAAUCUUAUCACAUCAUGAAUUAAGAAUCUAGAAUAGGAACUUAAAAGAGUUAGAUAAUAGAUUUUACCUGAAGUAGAGCCAUACGUCUUGACUCUCCCAUCUCUUAGAUCUCUCAGGUAAAUAGGGCAGCUUCGUCUCCAAUGCCCAUUCUCUUGGCAAUAAAAGCAAAUGGACUCUUUUGGCACAGUACAUUGGAAAAUCACAGACUUAGUUCUUUCUGGACUUCCAAUGUUGCCAGUUUCCAUUGAAGUUUGGGAGCUUGAUUCAUCAGAAAAAUUUGCUUGACCAGCACGCCAAAUCAUUGCUGAUUCAGCAGCUAUAAGCAAAUAGGUGAGAUCAAUAACGGUCACGUCGUGGUCCAUCAUAUAGUACUUUCGAACGAACUCACUAUAUGAUUCAGGAAGUGAUUGAAGAACCGAGUCAAAAGCCAACUCACUUGAAAUCUCGACACCCAACAUGUUUAACCUAUUAAUGUGUGACUUCAUCUCUAAGACGUGUGCACACACAGGUUUCCCAUCUUCGUGUCUACUUGCCAAAAGGGCUUGAGUGAGCUUGAACUUUUCAAGCCUUUGAACUUGUGGGUCAGGGAGAACAAUUGGAGGAGGUGGAGGAAGUGAAGCAUGACUCUCAUUUCCUUGAUCGUAUCUCGGAACGUCAUCUUCAUUUGGAAAGCUUGUUCCAAAGGAUUUGGGAAGACUAUUGUAAGAUUCAGACAUCUACAAAACGGGAGAAAAUUCAAGUUAAGUUGAUUAGAAUUCUUGAUGCAACACCCAAAUGAAACAUCAAGCUAGGAUCCAACACAAUACUCUACAACCUAGAAGAGGGAUGCCGUAAUCUAGUUGCAGAAUAUUUGAAGGUAGGUAAAUGACGAUUUACCAAUUUCCACCAUGAAAAACGAAAAGGAAGUUUAAGUUUUAAAUGAAUUGAAACUCCUAGAUCUUUUGAGAUUCAUUGAACUUUUCAAUGGCAUGUUUAAUCUCGAUUAUGCCCUACUAUUUGUGACUGGGAUGCCGAGGAUCACAAACAAGGUGUGAAUAACCAUACGAAUCACGUGGUGCACUCAAUGCUACUAUCACCUAAUCAAUGUGCUGGUUAGCCACACACGCUCCAUUGAUCUAUGACAAACAUCGAGUCACCCUUCGCUACCAAUGUCAUCCCCAAAUUAGUGUGCCGGUUAACCACACACGCUCCACUAACGUUUGACAAGGGUACGAAGUGUAAUUCCAUGGGUUAGCAUACAAUUUCACAUUUUGCCUAAAGUAACUAUGAUUUGGG
rnacentral:lncRNA from 1 species